rnacentral:rRNA from 1 species
UACGUAGGGGGCGAGCGUUGUCCGGAUUUAUUGGGCGUAAAGAGCGUGUAGGCGGCCAGGUAGGUCAGCUGUGAAAACUCGAGGCUCAACCUCGAGAUGUCGGCUGAAACCAUCUGGCUAGAGUCCGGAAGAGGAGAAUGGAAUUCCCGGUGUAGCGGUGAAAUGCGCAGAUAUCGGGAAGAACACCCGUGGCGAAGGCGGUUCUCUGGGACGGUACUGACGCUGAGACGCGAAAGCGUGGGGAGCGAACCGG